rnacentral:tRNA from 1 species
UAGCUCAGUCAGUUAGAGUGUGGUGCUGAUAACACCAAGGUCAUGGGUUCGAUCCCCGU